GCGUCUGUAGCUCAGCUGGAUAGAGCACACGCCUUCUAAGCGUGCGGUCUCAGGUUCGAAUCCUGACAGGCGUGCCA
rnacentral:tRNA from 1 species